CACCAGGUGGUCUGAUAUGGCUCCUUUUGAUUACUCUUUUGUCGGGAGGGGCAGACCUUUCCGGUUUUUAAGGGGCCUCCGCAAGAAAACGGACUCGGAGGUUUCUACUCUUGUCACGUCGAAGCUCGGCGUUGAUCUUGUCGUCUCUACUCUAUCGACCGAUGGUCAGGGCUUAUCCUUAGGUACCGCGGUCGGCGCUGGGGCACGAGGGGCGCAGAGGAUGAGCGGAGCAGACGUAGAGGCGGAGGCGAGAAGGCGCAGCGCCAGGCGGGGGACGACGGGCCAUCGGCGGCGCCCCCGCACGCGGAAGCCCAAGCUACGCCUCGCCGCCUGCUCCUCCGGCUCCAAGCCGCCCCACUCGUCCAAUUCCGCAGGCACCUCCUCUACCGCGGGCCGGAGCUGGAGCAGUGCGAGCGCCGGACGGAGCACCCGGAGGAGUGACCGCAGAGGCAACAGGAGAAGUUGGAAAGCCAAGUACUUUAUGCACUGGACGAAACCCUACCGUAUGGUGACGCUCCGCGAAGCACCGACUCCCUUCUUGGGUGGCGACUUUAAACCGUCUCUCACUAUAAACAAGGGCAGUCACCUCCGUAGUAUCAACCUCCCGACUUAUGCGAUUCUUCAAGAUAGUUUUGUUUGAGUCUACCGAGACAAAGAUUAUAUUUUCCACACAAAUCCGGUAAGAACUUUCGACACCGCCGUAGAAAGUGAGAGCCUUGACCGUUGAGAGACCCCGGACUCCCUGGGUCACACCUUUAUCCAAGACGAUAUCGCUUUCCUAAACCUUUACACAAACCCACCCUUCCGCCUUUUUUCGACAGAGAACACCGUCGACCCAGUCGUCGACCGUAACGUAGACCAAAAUUACGACGACAACGACCCACAAAAAAACGCCACCUCAGACAAAACACCGGAAGUAGACCGCUAAGAAGUAGGGAAAGGUUGAGUUGUGGAUACCACUAGGAGUCACGUCACUAUCGUAGACAAUAAAGUCUCUAACCAGAACCAAGACUAGGACGAAAGUGACAAGGUCUUAUACUAAAAGCGAGGGGUUGUCUCUAACUUUCAUACUCCUAUAAAUGUACUGAAGUAUUUACAGUCUUGAAGGAGAUAUAGAGAACGACCCGCACAAAACACCUCACCACAGUUAGUGGGAUAGAUCCACAUGUCGUGAUUGAUACCUGCACCAACUUGCGAAUGUUUUCUGUUGUCCUAACGGCUACCGACAUAGGGGACGGAAUCCACCGGAAUAACAACCAGAAGAGCGAGAACAUAUGGGACUUCAAGAGAUAACCCCGAAACUCUUACAACUAUAAAAUGACCUUAGCGCCGGUAAAUGUUCACCAGAGAGUCGUGGUCACAACCAAGUCGAGUAACCUCAUUUUUAUAACCGCUGCAGAAACACGUCCCGAAAACCUAACCAACCUCCAAUAAUACGUGGUAGGGAAAAAUAACCACGUCGAUGUCCGUACCGUAUACCGUUCAAGUACUCCAAAUGUAAAUGACCGAGACUUCGUGACAAAGUACAGGGGAAGGAUCUGCAUCGCAGUGGAGUUCGUAUACCAGACCAACCAUACCGUCGAUGUGAACGACCACAUACGUUCCACGGAGACUGUAGACAGGAGGAUGACAAACUUGAUUGCGUCCUGAUAGCAUAUCAAGACGGAAACGAACCACGACAACCUGAUAGUAGAACCUAGCGAAGAAGAGUUUCCAAGAGAUGGUCGUCAUUCCCAUUCGACCUAAGUAACCUCCUCUUUUGUUCGUGGUAACUUCUCCGUUUUUUACACGGGUGAGUUUGGGUUGUUGAGUGAAGACACCUAUCACAACUACGAUGCCGUCUUAAUACAUUUGAUCUUUCGAGCGAAACACAGAUACUACAGUCUCUACUAUUGCACGACCUUUUAGAAUGACAACGUCUCUGAUACUUUUGCUCUAUAUAAAGACAGAGUAACUUUUGAGGUCAUCAACUCCGUGAUUUAGAAUACGAACACCUCUUCGUUGGUAAACAAUACUAUUGACUCUCUUUAUUUAGAGAAAAUCCGAACGAUUGUCAGUUUCUAAAGGUCCUAAAGACGUUUUUACAUUUUUCAUGGUCCUACGUUGGACUCCAUCUACUUACAGACCAUAGAUUACAAACACCUCGGCAAUCUACAUUUUAUACCAGGCACUGUGGAGUCUACGGUGAAUGACGACGACUUUUCUAGUACCUAAGAGUACCUCAUCUGGUUCAAGGACAUCAAAGUCUUGUACAAUUAGUAGUCCUACCUCCUUAGAACUAACCAAAACAUCUGUCUCUUACGUAGUGGUAACGAGCUUCUCGAAACAGUCGUUUUCUUAAAAAGUCAAAGUGUAGCCUCUAGUCUUCCCUUCUCUCUACUACGCCUAAGUGAAUUAUUAAACGAACUAUAAGACCUCGAAACUUUAAAGUAAACGAGUACAGCCGAAUACACUAAUUCGACCAGUUGUCGGUUCUUUAGUAUUAGCUGGUCCAAACAAACCAUUGAAGUCUUAAGCCUUUCACUUCAUCGACCGACUUCAAAAAAGGUAAAGAUAGUUCUGACAUACACGUACGCGUCACGUAACGACGUAAUAACAACAUUCUCGUGCGAUAAAAGAGUCAUCAAUCUAGCGACGUGGAACGUGGAUUGAACACGUAUGGUGACAAGAGGAAAAGACGUUUUGUUUUACCUCAUACAAGUAAAUCCUUGACCCGGUCACGUACCCGUGAACUCGCACGGAUGAUGUGUCAUAUUAAGAAGUUGACUCUUAACUUGAUAAGCAGUUGCAUCUGUGAACUUUCUGUCCGUUAUUCUAGUCCGAUACAGUGUGAGCAUAAAGAGAAACGUACAACAAUCAUCAAACUUAAUUUACUUGGUUUAAACGUAUUCCCUCCCAAACAAACCGCCUUAGAAGACUAUUAAUAGCACAUAAGAAACGUUAGAAUACAUCGUUCAACAAACCAUUUUGUUGGAAGGGCAUCUCUUUGUCAAAGGUAAGCAUAGCGACACUGUUUACUUGGAAAUAACAACAUGCAAAUAGUGUACAAAGCUUCGAUCAAAGUUUAAAAGUUGUUGUCGUUGUUGUUUUGGAAAACAGGGUUCGUUCAACCCCCAUUCGAAUUUAAAAC
rnacentral:rRNA from 1 species